GCUCCGGUGGUCUAGUGGUUAGAGUGUCCGCCUCGAAUGCGGGAUAUCGUGGGUUCGAUUCCCGGUCGAGUCA